GCUCAGCCCUGAGUGUCUCCAGAGGAGAUGCAAGCCUGAAGUGGGAUUGUCUGUAAUUUAAGUAAACUGAUCUGCUACUAAAUCCAUAGCAAUUCAAUUUAAACUUCACAGGGUUUAUUGCUGAGGACAGACAUGACUUAAAUAAUAUUGUGAGGAGCCAUAUUAAAAAAAAAAUGUUCAGGGUGUAGAGAGAAGGAAGAACAAAUGAGCCUGGUCAGAGAUUGUGAGCCCUGCCUUUGAAUCACCUGGGUAGAUCUGCAAGUUACUGAUCUUCUUCCAAUCAGCUCAUUGAACAGUCGAGGGGACAUGGGUCCAAGCUCCAGGCUUUUCCAAAGUUCCUUCCACGGUUGUGAUGUGCAGGAAGAACUGAAAGGCCCUGGCCCGGAUGGUAUCUGAGGUUUCUGACAGGCAGAAGAUCAACAAGACUUGGUGACAACGGAGGGGGUGGGUGGCCCUUUCAGGUGCAGCCAGAACAAGACAGACAGUUACCUGUGGAUCAGGCCUGGAUCGUCACUGCUCUGGAAGCUUCCUAGUAGAAGGGACUAUGUUUUGCCAGCUCCUGCUAUGCCAUUUGGUAUACAGUCUGCUUACGGAGGUGACACCUGCUGACCGUGCGCGUUUGAGAGCCUCCCAUCUUGAGGGCUAUAGUGUUCUGCUCACCACCUACAAUUACCACGACUAAAAAUACUUCGGAGUAAGGAGAGUCUUCAAGGGGACUUGGCGCCUGGACUACACUGUUCCUAUUUCGGUGCUGUGUCUCAAGGCCACAGCCUUGCUAUUGCUGAGCUGCGCAUCGCCAGUAAGACAUUGCACUUCAGAAUUCAUGGAAGCUUUGUGGUUAUGUCUCUUUCCCCCCAAAUGGUACCCACUAGAGAUCUUCCAGAUAAUUCCAUCCCGACUUAGCCACCAUGUGCAGAAACAGCAACUUCAUAGACAUCAGGGUGAUCAAACAGGCCAAGAAGACACCAUGCCCUCUUCUUCUCCCGCUGUCUUGAGCACCUUGUGUCUAUUCACUCAGCACGAUUCCAUCUUAGCAAUAAAUCCCCCACAAGGAUGUUGUGAUCUCUCCGAUUUAAUCGGCAUUAAAUCCUUUGAGUCCUCAUAUCCUUCCUCUCCCAUUUCUUAAAAUAGUCGGCAGCACUUAAGUCCAGCAUCCUAUCGACUUCUAACAUUGCAUAAUCCCGCAAGACCCCUCUCCCCUAUUCUCCUUAAGGAGCCCACAUAAUCAGAAAGUUCUCCCAUGAGAACCUGAAGGUAGGGUGGUUCAGGCAGCCCUGGGGUUAGUGGGGCACAUUGCUGCCAGGAUCGCCUGAGGGCUUGCUAGGUUGGAGGGAUACUUACUAUCCCUUCACUGUUUGACUGGAUCAGAAAGUACGUCUCUGCUUUAAUUAUCUCUUAGGGUGGGCUGAGGACAGAAGAGUUGGAUUGUGGGCAUCGGUUCUUGUCACAGUUCUUACAGGAAGCUUUGAGGUUUGAGUCCGCUUGGCAGGGAGGAGGCGUCACUCAGGGAGCAUGGACUGUGUUCUGGGGAUUUGAGAUUGGGGGACUGUUCUCAAGAGAGACCUGGGGUUGUGCUCAGCCUUGCCCAAUGCUUGGGUCACUCUAGUCUGGAAUGGUCACAGAAGUGCAGUCUCUGUCGGAGAAACCAAACCCUUUGUAGGACCUGUCUUGAACUAAGGAAAGAAUGGUAGGUGGAACAGAGCUCAACGGACACCGAGAGCAUCUCCCAAGCGACAAGACCCCCCCCCCCGGCCCCCGUUAGUGAGCGUGAGAUGUUCGUGGGCAAAGACACGGGAAUGGGUUCUCAAGCAGAGGGGAUGCACUUUAUGAUCCAUCUGCCAUGUUUGCAGGUGAGUGAGUGAGGAGAAAAGAACGGUUACGUGGAAGACCCGUUACGGACAUGAAAGCCAACCCCACCUUGAAGAUGUCACCGCGGUCCCAAGUUGUAGGUGGACGCCAGAAGAGUAUUUAGACUCAGACCCGGGCAAACUAGCGGAUGUGCUACUCCAGGCUUAAGAAAACCCAGGUGGUUAAAACCAAGGCAGCAUCCCUAAUCUGUGCUUGGUCCAACAACAUGGCCAUUUAUUUGUGGCUCACCGCUGCCCUCUGGUGGCACUCUCCAAAAAUGCAACUUGGUUUUAAAGGUUGGGGAUGGCGAGACUGACUUAACCAGUUUGUUUGUUUGUUUGUUUGAGUACAUACCCUCAGUAUUUGAGUCUCAGGAUCAUUUUGAUUCACCUGCAUGAAUCAAGUCACGUGAUUAGAGUAAAAGGAGCAGAAUUCAGCGUAUCUCAUGCCUUUGUCUGGCCCUGCCAUUGUCAGACAAUUCAGCUAGCUCUUGGGAACUGCUGUUUCUAUCAGACACUAUUGUGUGGGGCCUUUUAUCUGAGCUGUAGCAUUGAUCCUCUAGGGUGGGUGCAAUAAUUAUUCAUGUUACAGAUGAAGAAAUAGAGGCGCACAGAUGUCUCACUCUUAACAUAUGAAUAUGGUAUUGAGUCCCCAGUGACACCAACCUGUUAAGAUGUCACUCAGUACCCACCCAGUCCCGCCCUGAGCAGAAUGAAUGGACGGGGAAAUAUAAUUUUAAAGUACUGUUU
rnacentral:lncRNA from 1 species